GAUGAACGCUGGCGGCGUGCCUAAUACAUGCAAGUCGAGCGAACAGACGAGGAGCUUGCUCCUCUGACGUUAGCGGCGGACGGGUGAGUAACACGUGGAUAACCUACCUAUAAGACUGGGAUAACUUCGGGAAACCGGAGCUAAUACCGGAUAAUAUAUUGAACCGCAUGGUUCAAUAGUUCAAGACGGUUUUGCUGUCACUUAUAGAUGGAUCCGCGCCGCAUUAGCUAGUUGGUAAGGUAACGGCUUACCAAGGCAACGAUGCGUAGCCGACCUGAGAGGGUGAUCGGCCACACUGGAACUGAGACACGGUCCAGACUCCUACGGGAGGCAGCAGUAGGGAAUCUUCCGCAAAGGGCGCAAGCCUGACGGAGCAACGCCGCGUGAGUGAUGAAGGUCUUCGGAUCGUAAAACUCUGUUAUUAGGGAAGAACAAAUGUGUAAGUAACUCUGCACGUCUUGACGGUACCUAAUCAGAAAGCCACGGCUAACUACGUG
rnacentral:rRNA from 1 species